AACCUCCGCAAUGUAUGAAAGUGCGACGGGGGGAUCCCAAGUGUUAUGCUUUUUUGUAUAACUUUUCAUUAGUGUAAAAGCUUUUAGAAUAAGAGCUGGGCAAGACCGGUGCCAGCCGCCGCGGUAACACCGGCAGCUCGAGUGGUAGCUGUUUUUAUUGGACCUAAAGCGUUCGUAGCCGGUUUGAUAAGUCUUUGGUGAAAGCUUGUAGCUUAACUAUAAGAAUUGCUGGAGAUACUAUUAGACUUGAAGUCGGGAGAGGUUAGAGGUACUACCGGGGUAGGGUGAAAUCCUAUAAUCCUGGGAGGACCACCUGUGGCGAAGGCGUCUAACUGGAACGAUCUUGACGGUGAGUAACGAAAGCCAGGGGCGCGAACCGGAUUAGAUACCCGGGUAGUCCUGGCCGUAAACGAUGUGGACUUGGUGUUGGAAUGGCUUUGAGCCGCUCCAGUGCCGAAGGGAAGCUGUUAAGUCCGCCGCCUGGGAAGUACGGUCGCAAGACUGAAACUUAAAGGAAUU
rnacentral:rRNA from 1 species